GAUGAACGCUGGCGGCGUGCUUAACACAUGCAAGUCGAACGGAAAGGCCCAAGCUUGCUUGGGUACUCGAGUGGCGAACGGGUGAGUAACACGUGGGUGAUCUGCCCUGCACUUCGGGAUAAGCCUGGGAAACUGGGUCUAAUACCGGAUAGGACCACUUCUUGGAUGUUGUGGUGGAAAGUUUUUUCGGUGUGGGAUGAGCUCGCGGCCUAUCAGCUUGUUGGUGGGGUAAUGGCCUACCAAGGCGUCGACGGGUAGCCGGCCUGAGAGGGUGUACGGCCACAUUGGGACUGAGAUACGGCCCAGACGCCGACGGGAGGAAGCAGGGGGGAAUAUUGCACAAUGGGCGCAAGCCUGAUGCAGCGACGCCGCGGGGGGGAGGACGGCCUUCGGGUUGUAAAAUCCUUUCGCUAGGGACGAAGCGUUUUGUGACGGUACCUGGAGAAGAAGCACCGGCUAACUACGUG
rnacentral:rRNA from 1 species